GGGAGAGACUCCCCCUCCCUCAAUGCAUCUGAUCCUGUCUGAUCCCGGAAGCUAAGCAGGGUCGGGCCUGGUUAGUACUUGGCCUGAAGACCAAGCAACUCUUGCA
rnacentral:rRNA from 1 species